ACAAUUCAAUUUAUUAAACUCCUAUGUGCAGGCAUUGUGGAUAUGAGAACAAAAAAAUGGCAAAUAUGAAAAGCUCCAGCCUUCGGGGAGUCUACAUUCCACUGAACAAGCACUUUACCUCAUGACCAAGCAUGAUCCUAAAGAACAGGGAAAAACUCUUUUUUUUUUGCUGAGAAAUAGACUCUGUGCUUGGACAAUGAUGACGGAUUACCAUCGCGGCUCAAGGAAAUGAACACUGAACUCCAGCUAGCAAAAACCAACGUUCAAAUCUCAUCUCAGACACUCAUGAGCUUUCUGACCAGGGGCAAAUCCUUUCACCUCUCAGCAUCAAUUUUCACAUCUUUCAAAUGAGAGAUAAAAACACCUGCAGUCCCAAACCCUACUAGGCUGUUGAGUAUCACAUGAGCAAAUGAGAUGUCAUAGCUGUGACCAGCAGAAGUCACUGUGGAGCAAAGCUAACUGGACACCCAUUUUUACUUUGAGGAGGAGCCCUAUCCAUUGUGAGCUUCCUUUCCGUCCCUGACUCAACCCAUCUUCUGUGAUGCAGGAUGCAUGGGGAAAACCAAUUCACCAUUAGUAUGCCUAUCCUUUUUUCAUUUUAUUUUUCUUGUUUUGUUUUUCAAUAUGGCUAACAUGGAAAUACGUUUUGCAUGACUUCAUAUGUAUAACUGACAUCAUAUUGCUUGCCUUCUCAAUGGGUAAGGGAGGGACAGGAAGAAGAUAUAAAAUUCAGGAUCAAUUUUUUUUUUAAUGUUAAAUAAUAAAGUCAUUUUUAAAAACCUAC